rnacentral:siRNA from 1 species
UCAACUUAUCAGUUCGUUCCUCA